rnacentral:lncRNA from 1 species
CAGGUACGUAACAUCCCUAUGUGAACAUUUGCAUUCUGUCACGGCCACUCGUGAACCGGAUGUGGCAGCAAUAUCGUGGGUACCGAUUGUUUCUGGUUCCAUUGCAUGGCUCUGUAGGUCUCUACAUGGUUGCAGUUGAAAGGCAAGCACGAAACAGACACCGGAUGGUGGCUGAAGCUUUAAUGAGUCUGGAUGACGAUGGCGACGAUGUGUAGUAGGUGUUGGUGGUGCAAAUACCAAGCGAAUUCUUAAAGGGGCUGGUUUACGCGUCAAACCUGCAAUGGUAGAUUGUUUGCAGUCAGAUUAUAUGCUUGGUAUGUUGAGCAGGGUGUUCUGGUUCUUGCUUUAUAAGUCUUUGAAUAUGUCUGGCAAGGUGAAACCAGAAACCAUAGAUCACGGCCAUCUUGAAAUUACCCCCUGACUCGAGUCGGCAGCUAGACCCUGUUUCUGUACUAGACAAUCAUUGAAAGACUUUCAAAGGCCUUGUAGAGUUGGGUAUGUACCCUCGUGUCCGUGGGAGCUUCCAUAGGGAUUCGCUUCUGGGUAUUUACGAGUCGUGUUUCGAUCCUUAUAUCUAGCCCGCUCGCCCACGCCUGUAAAUGGUGCUUAGAUUGCUUUGUUGUGGUCUAUCAGUCUCUGCACACCUUGUAGAGAUGCGGGCGAGCCGGCCGAAUUUUACCCGGGCCGAGCUUGGCUCUUAUGGCUUUGUUCCGCAUAAUUAAUAUAUUAUAUUUUGGACAAGUUGACAGAUUGUCGACUGGAUAUUAUUCUUUAACAUUCUCAAUAUUAUAAUACUGAAGAGAGCCGUAGUAGACUUUUGUCUUUUAAGCUAACUCGCCAUAGCCGCCGCCGGAAAUCCCCAGAAUCUUCAUCAAUGGCGACGAACCCCAACGGCAGCUCUGGUAAAAUGGAAAUCGUAGUAUUCCCAUGGCUAGCAAUGGGUCACUUGAUCCCCUUCCUCCACUUCUCCAAGCUCUUAGCACAAAACGGCCACAAUAUCCACUUCGUCUCCACUCCCAAAAACCUCUCCAGACUACCCAAACUACCCCUCCGCCUCUCCUCCCAAAUCACCUUUGUGCCCUUCCCUUUACCGCCCGUCCCCAACCUACCUCCCGACGCCGAGUCCUCCAUGGACGUCCCUUACAACAACCAGCAGCUCCUCAAGAAGGCCUUCGACUCCCUCCGCCCUCCGCUGACUGAUUUCCUUCGCCAGCUUAAGCCCGAUUGGGUCAUCUACGACUACGCCUCUCACUGGCUUCCUUCAGCCGCCGCCGAUGCCGGCGGUGGCGGCAUCGGCUGCGCUUUCUUCAGUCUCUUCACUGCAACAACGCUCUGCUUCGUCGGUCCGCCUGGAGGCGAUUCAAGACGGAACGCGGAGGAUUUCACGGUGGUCCCUGAUUGGAUUCCGAUUGAAAUAAAAUCAAAUAUCGCGUAUCGCCUUCAUGAAGUUUCCAAGUAUGUGGAGAAGACCGAUGAGGAUACCUCCGGUCCUUCCGAUCAGAUCCGUUUCGCCGUCGCUAUGGAGGAGAGCAACGCCUUGCUCGUCAGAAGCUCGCGGGAGUUUGAACCUGAGUGGUUUGAACUUCUCGGUCAGAUGUAUAAGGAAAAGACGAUUAUACCCGUAGGAUUCCUCCCGCCGCCAAUAGCAGCAAACGACAAGGAGGAUCAAAACGACGCCGUUUGGAGGGAGAUCCGAGAUUGGUUGGACAAGCAGCGCG